rnacentral:rRNA from 1 species
UACAUAUGGGGCAAGCGUUGUUCGGAAUUACUGGGCAUAAAGGGUGCGUAGGUGGUCUGCUAAGUCAGGGGUGAAAUCCGGUGGCCCAACCAUCGAACUGCCUUUGAUACUGGUGGACUUGAGUGCGUGAGGGGUAACCGGAACGAGCAGUGUAGCGGUGAAAUGCGUAGAUAUUGCUCGGAAGGCCAACGGCGAAGGCAGGUUACUGGUGCGCAACUGACACUGAGGCACGAAAGCGUGGGGAGCAAACAGG